GGGGGUCUAGCUCAAAUGGUAGAGCGCUCGCUUAGCAUGCGAGAGGUACUGGGAUCGAUACCCAGGUCCUCCA
rnacentral:tRNA from 2 species